rnacentral:tRNA from 1 species
GUCUCUGUAGCGCAAUGGAUUGCGCGUUGAACUUUUAAUUCAAAGGUCGUGGGUUCGGAUCCCACCUGAGUUG